rnacentral:rRNA from 1 species
ACGUGGCCAAACUACCCUAUGGAUCCGGAUACCCUCGGGAAACUGAGACUAAUCCGGAAUACGAUUCCCACGCUGGAAGUGCGGAGAAUCAGAAACGCUCCGGCGCCAUAGGAUGUGGCUGCGGCCGAUUAGGUAGACGGUGGGGUAACGGCCCACCGUGCCAAUAAUCGGUACGGGUUGUGAGAGCAAGAGCCCGGAGACGGUAUCUGAGACAAGAUACCGGGCCCUACGGGGCGCAGCAGGCGCGAAACCUUUACACUGCACGCCAGUGCGAUAAGGGGACUCCGAGUGCGAGGGCAUAUAGUCCUCGCUUUUUGUAACCGUAGGAAGGUUACAGAAUAAGUGCUGGGCAAGACCGGUGCCAGCCGCCGCGGUAAUACCGGCAGCACGAGUGAUGACCGCUAUUAUUGGGCCUAAAGCGUCCGUAGCUGGCCGCGCAAGUCUAUCGGGAAAUCCGCACGCCUAACGUGCGGGCGUCCGGUGGAAACUGCGCGGCUUGGGACCGGAAGAUCCAGAGGGUACGUCUGGGGUAGGAGUGAAAUCCCGUAAUCCUGGACGGACCGCCGGUGGCGAAAGCGCUCUGGAAAGACGGAUCCGACGGUGAGGGACGAAAGCUCGGGUCACGAACCGGAUUAGAUACCCGGGUAGUCCGAGCUGUAAACGAUGUCUGCUAGGUGUGUCACAAACUACGAGUUUGUGAUGUGCCGUAGGGAAGCCGUGAAGCAGACCGCCUGGGAAGUACGUCCGCAAGGAUGAAACUUAAAGGAAUUG